AACGAACGCCGGCGGCAUGCCUAACACAUGCAAGUCGAACGAGACCUUCGGGUCUAGUGGCGCACGGGUGCGUAACGCGUGGGAACCUGCCUUUAGGUUCGGAAUAACUCAGAGAAAUUUGAGCUAAUACCGGAUGAUGUCUUCGGACCAAAGAUUUAUCGCCCAAGGAUGAGCCCGCGUAAGAUUAGCUUGUUGGUGAG
rnacentral:rRNA from 1 species